rnacentral:rRNA from 1 species
AUUGAACGCUGGCGGCAGGCUAACACAUGCAAGUCGAACGAGUGGCGGACGGGUGAGUAAUGCUUGGGAAUCUAGCUUAUGGAGGGGGAUAACUACGGGAAACUGUGCUAUACCGCGUACCAUAGGAUGAGCCUAGGGCGGAUUAGCUAGUUGGUGGGGGAAAGGCCUACCAAGGCGACGAUCCGUAACUGGUCUGAGAGGAUGACCAUGCACACUGGAACUGAGACACGGUCCAGACUCCUACGGGAGGCAGCAGUGGGGAAUUUUGGACAAUGGGGGAAACCCUGAUCCAGCCAUCCCGCGUGUGCGAUGAAGGCUUCGGGUUGUAAAGCACUUUUGGCAGGGAAGCGGUACCUGCAGAAUAAGCACCGGCUAACUACGUGCCAGCAGCCGCGGUAAUAC